AUGCAGCGCUUCUACCGCGAGUACUACAAACUACUUCCGCGAGAUGUUGCUCAAGUAGCCGUGACAUAUAUUAUGUCUAAAUGGCAGAGGUUCUUCCUAAAUUUCUGGGGUCCAUUCACAGUAAGCAAUAAGAAGAUAAAAUCAAUGAUAAUCGAGUGGGUCGGUUAUGCACUGGCACCAUCCUUGCUACUAGCGGUGGGUGCGAUGGUCCGGGCCAAGGAGAGAAAGAUAGGUGAGAUAUGCUCAGAGGUGAUCAUCGACAAGUCCUCAAACAAGAUGACGAUGGAGAGUAUAGUGGAGGCACAACACAUCAUGAAGAAGGUGCACGAGUACGUCAAGACAACGAACAUCGUGAUCCUCAGGCUAUGGUCCAUUAUUCUAGCCCGGUCACCAAAGGAAAUUCACCUGUGCGGCAGUGGAGGGGAAGGAGCAACACCGGCAGCCCUGACAGAGGAAGCCAUGUUGCCGUUUUGUUUGUUCCCAGCCUUGACUAUGGUUGUCCAGCGAGUCCGGCAUGUCGUCAUUUUCUUGUAA
rnacentral:rRNA from 1 species